UACGUAGGGUGCGAGCGUUGUCCGGAAUUAUUGGGCGUAAAGAGCGUGUAGGCGGUUCGGUAAGUCGGCUGUGAAAGUACCAGGGCCUCAACCCUGGGAUGCCGGUCGAUACUGCCGGACUAGAGUUCGGAAGAGGCGAGUAGGAAUUCCCGGUGUAGCGGUGGAAAUGACGCAGAUAUCGGGAGGAACACCUAUGGCGAAGGCAGCUCGCUGGGACGUUACUGACGCUGAGACGCGGAAAGCGUGGGGAGCAAACAGG
rnacentral:rRNA from 1 species